AAAUAAACCAAUUGUCUGAUAUGUAUAUCCUGGGGAUCGGCCCAGAGUCUCUACCAACUACCUUAAGAGUUGACUACAUAGUUUAUGUAGUCAGCU
rnacentral:ncRNA from 2 species